rnacentral:rRNA from 1 species
UACGGGGGGAGCAAGCGUUGUUCGGAUUCAUUGGGCGUAAAGGGUGCGUAGGUGGCGCUGUAAGUCGGGUGUGAAAUUUCGGAGCUUAACUCCGAAACUGCAUUCGAUACUGCGGUGCUUGAGGACUGGAGAGGAGACUGGAAUUCAUGGUGUAGCAGUGAAAUGCGUAGAGAUCAUGAGGAAGACCAGUGGCGAAGGCGGGUCUCUGGACAGUUCCUGACACUGAGGCACGAAGGCCAGGGGAGCAAACGGG